AGCGAACGCUGGCGGCAGGCCUAACACAUGCAAGUCGAACGAACCUUUCGGGGUUAGUGGCGGACGGGUGAGUAACACGUGGGAACGUGCCUUUAGGUUCGGAAUAACUCAGGGAAACUUGUGCUAAUACCGAAUGUGCCCCUCGGGGGAAAGAUUUAUCGCCUUUAGAGCGGCCCGCGUCUGAUUAGCUAGUUGGUUGAGGUAAUGGCUCACCAAGGCGACGAUCAGUAGCUGGUCUGAGAGGAUGAGCAGCGACAUUGGGACUGAGACACGGCCCAAACUCCUACGGGAGGCAGCAGUGGGGAAUCUUGCGAAAUGGGCGAAAGCCUGACGCAGCCAUGCCGCGUGAAUGAUGAAGGUCUUAGGAUUGUAAAAUUCUUUAACCGGGGACGAUAAUGACGGUACCCGGAGAAGAAGCCCCGGCUAACUUCGUG
rnacentral:rRNA from 1 species